GUGAACGCUGGCGGUAGGCCUAACACAUGCAAGUCGAACGGCAGCACAGUAAGAGCUUGCUCUUCCGGGUGGCGAGUGGCGGACGGGUGAGGAAUACAUCGGAAUCUACCUUUUCGUGGGGGAUAACGUAGGGAAACUUACGCUAAUACCGCAUACGACCUACGGGUGAAAGCAGGGGAUCUUCGGACCUUGCGCGAUUGAAUGAGCCGAUGUCGGAUUAGCUAGUUGGCGGGGUAAGGCCCACCAAGGCGACCGUCCGUAGCUGGUCUGAGAGGAGGAUCAGCCACACUGGAACUGAGACACGGUCCAGACUCCUACGGGAGGCAGCAGUGGGGAAUAUUGGACAAUGGGCGCAAGCCUGAUCCAGCCAUACCGCGUGGGUGAAGAAGGCCUUCGGGUUGUAAAGCCCUUUUGUUGGGAAAGAAAAGCAGCAGGUUAAUACCCCGCUGUUCUGACGGUACCCAAAGAAUAAGCACCGGCUAACUUCGUG
rnacentral:rRNA from 1 species